CUUGAAUUAUUGUAGGAUUUUAAACUUUAGAUUGUGAACUUUAGAAAUCUUGAAUUGUUGUAGGAUUUUAGAACUUUAGGUUGUGAACUUUAGAAAUCUUGAAUUAUUGUGGGAUUUUAGAACUUUAAGUUGUGAACUUUAGGAAUCUUGAAUUAUUGUAGGAUUUUAAACUUUAGAUUGUGAACUUUAGAAAUCUUGAAUUGUUGUAGGAUUUUAGAACUUUAGGUUGUGAACUUUAGAAAUCUUGAAUUAUUGUGGGAUUUUAGAACUUUAAGUUGUGAACUUUAGGAAUCUUAAAUUAUUGUAGGAUUUUAAACUUUUGAUUGUGAACUUUAGGAAUCUUGAUUUAUAGAAUUUAUGAACUAAUUAUUAGGUUGAACUUUAGAAAUGUUGAUAAAAUAUAGUCUUUAUGAACUAUUUAAUUAAGCUUGAACAUAAUUUGAACUUAAUUUGAAGUUUGAAUUACUUGAAAUCUUGAAACGAAUUUUGAAAGUCUUUAUAAGUCUUUAAAUUGUGAUUUAUAUAUUUUUGAAUGUUAAUUUAAGUUUGUUGUUUUAUAUUUUGUGUAGCUUCUUUAUAAUGUUUUGGG
rnacentral:lncRNA from 1 species